UGUAAGCACUUGAGUGUACUGCAAAUAUAAGGCUGUCCUCUAGUAGUUAAAAAGUCCGUUGAUUUCAGUAAAUGCAGGUAUUGUAAGUAACAGGUAACUUUUAUAUUGCUCUUUUUUGUCAAGGGGACCUUAGAGUGUUUUCCAAAGAAGCCUGGUGAUGCAUGGAGUGGUUUUGAAAGGAGGCACAGAGGAGAAGCUCACUAGGACACAGAUCUGCUCCUCGGCCUGGUGGAUCCAAACCCUGCUUAGGAACUCAGCGUCCUGAGAAAGGGCCUGCAAACUGCUUUGUGCACAUGCCUUGAGUCAAAC